rnacentral:lncRNA from 1 species
CUGUUGGGAGGAGCCUGGCAGAAUAGUCUGUCACAGCUGUCAGGAUAUGGUGGUGUUUCCUGAGUGAAGAAAAACAAAACAAAAGAGAUAAGAAGAAGAUAAAAAGGCCCCAUUUCUGUUAUUUGAAUCCUCAUUCUGUGAUCGUGAGGCAGCGCCCACUGGAGUGGGUUCACGAGCCCUCUGUAUUGACAUUCCACGUGUGUUUACUGGGACUCAUCAUUCUUCCAGAAGAUGACCUUGCAGUUCAGACAGUGAAGCACAAUUGCAUUGCCACUUGAGUUUCCUGGUUUCCCGAUUUCUUCUGCAUUCCCUCCUUGGGGGAGGUCCCAAUAUGUCUGUUUUAGAUGUUAAUCUAAGGUGGUCAUCUCAGCAAGACCAAUUGCUAGUUAUUAGCUUGUCCUGUGAUGGCUCCUGACAGAAGGGUGACUCCAAAAGAAGUCAUGUUGAGAAAGACUGUGGUCCAUAGCUGUUAUUGUAAGAUAUUUGUAUAAUUACUCACUAGCCUGGGCCUAUUUGGUCCUUACCAGGAAUGUCUGAUACCAUCACACUGACCAAGAAGAUGUCCUGCUUCUUGCUGACAGAUCAUGGAUGGAGGAGGCAGAAGAGAUGCUACCCCUGACAACACAAGAUCUCCUGGAAGGACAUCCAUGUCCUGGUGGCUGCUGCACAGGUUCCCCUGGUUUUAGGCUGAAGAAACUACCUCGAUUCACAGCUGGUAGGAGACAGAAAAAAGAGGGGCUAUGGACUAUGAUUACAUCUCCCAUUUAUAGAACAAAAACGGAAUGACGUAGGGCAAGUGCAACUGGGGAAUGGUCCAGGAACAACAGUGAUAUCGAGAAGCAUCCAAACCCUGAAAAUCUUGUCUUCAGUAGAGACUGUUCCCUCUCUAGGCUCAGACUGCAUGUCCUGGUAUUGUUGGCCAAAUUAUAAAUUUAAGCACUGCUAUCCCUUUUUAUGCAAA